rnacentral:rRNA from 1 species
CGGCUCGUCGCAUCCUGGGGCUGGAGUAGGUCCCAAGGGUUGGGCUGUUCGCCCAUUAAAGCGGCACGCGAGCUGGGUUUAGAACGUCGUGAGACAGUUCGGUCCCUAUCCGCCGCGCGCGCAGGAAACUUGAGAAGGCCUGUCCCUAGUACGAGAGGACCGGGAUGGACGAACCUCUGGUGUGCCAGUUGUUCCGCCAGGAGCACGGCUGGUUGGCUACGUUCGGAAGUGAUAACCGCUGAAAGCAUCUAAGCGGGAAGCGCGCUUCAAGAUGAGGUUUCCCACUGGUUCAACCAGGUAAGGCCCCCAGCAGAUCACUGGGUACAUAGGCCGGAGGUCGAAGGCAGAGAUGCACGGAGCCGACCGGUACUAAUAGGCCGAGGGCUUGUCUCU